UUAAAACUCUUUCAAAAGUUUUUCUCCGGCUGAGUUUAUCAAACCCUAAUACAUCCGCCGCCAUGAGUUUCACUCUAGCAGUUACAGGGCAAAAUAUUGUCGGAUUUUGGUUAUGGGUUUUUGGUAUGACAAUCCGCAAGGUUAAACGAGUGGAAUGGUGGUCUUAGUUGCCGAUUUCAAUGGGAUUUUGUGCAGAUAUUUAGGAUUUCAUUCUCCGGAAAGAAAAAGGAUGCAAGAAGAUCGUGAUUCUGUAUACUGCAAAAGACUUAAAAGCUGGGUAAACUAAUUGGAAAAAGGAUGCAAGAAGAUCGUGAUUCUGUAUACUGCAAAGGACUCAAAAGCUGGGAAAACUAAUUGGAUGAUGCAUCAGUACCAUCUUGGUACUGAGAAGGCUGAAAAGGAAGGCACGUUCGUUGUGUCAAAAGUAUAACCCCACUUCCUUCUCAUCUUCAUCUGUACCAAGAUGAUACUCAUGCAUCACCCCCACUUCCUUCUCAUCUUCAUCUGUACCAAGAUGAUACUCAUGCAUCACCCAGUUAGUUUUCUCUGUAUAUAAAAGCAUUGAGAGCAUGUGUGCUUCCUAACCAUCGUUGAAGAGGAUGGGUGUUUCCAUUGGAUCAAGAUCAAAUAAGUUGGAUGACAAGAUUUCUGCAAAGAAAGAAGAAGUGGACAAAAAGAAGAAGUGGAGAGAACCUUGGAGUUAUUUCAUCUGCAUCUUGAUAAAGGAGGUUAAUUAUAUAUAGAACAAGAAACAACCGUCAUUCUUUAUAUUAGGUUUUUAAGAGAGAACAACAAUAAUAAUAUGUGUAGGUAAAAUGUCAUUACCCUUUCUAAAUGCAUAGCAACUCUAAUGUUGUAUUAAGGGUUCUACAGAUGCUCCAUUGCAAGACACUACUACAUUUAGUUUGUGAAAAGCCUUCCUAAGAAUUUAUGUUGUUGUAUAUUGAUAAGAGUGCCCACGUUAAAUUGAAACCUCUUUGAAAACAAUAUAAUGGAACCUGAGGAAUUCCCCCUUCUAAAAAUAAAUCUAUUACCAUCAUAAAUUGAUUAUGUAAGUGCAUUUGUAAGUUGAAACAUCAAUAUUCAGUUACAAGUAAGGAAUGACGUCUUGAAUGCAAUCAACUUGCACUUUCUGAAUAUUUCUUCAAGAACUCAUGGAGUAAUGCCAGUACAGUUCUUCGAUGGAAGUAAUGUGAGUACAGUUCUUAGAUGGAAGUAAUGUGAUUUGAAGAUACUGAGGCCUGUUAGUGUUGGUCAUAUCCCUGCAUGCAUAUUUGAUAUGUAUUAGGUAAUAGACACAAUAAAGAUGUAUAUCAGAUGAUUGAAAAUUUUGUGGUAUGUCUAGAAAUGACUGAGGAGGGGCUAUAUACCCGAUUUGUAUGUAUGUUUACCCACUGUAUUCAUGAUUUUAAUACAUAGUCUCAACAACAUUCACUC